AAAGAUGAAGUAGGAAAGAGAGUGAGCAGAUAACAUCUGGAAGAGUGACCCAGCAUUGCAUAAAAGCAAAUCAAGGACGGAGGUAAGAAUAGUUCAUUCCUGGAUUUCCUAAUUCUGUUCUUUUGUUAUAAACUGUGUAUUAUUUUACUGGCUUUAUGGUUUCACAAACAAAAGGUUCGGCAGAAUCUUUGGACAUCAAAUGGCCUUUAUGAAACAAUGUCUUGAUGAGUUAAAUAAAAACGAAUCAGAAACACAUGGACUCGACUUCCCUUGAAAUAUAAGAGGACGCACAAAUCAAGGCAAAGAGCACUUAACAAACACUGGGUUUGGGUUUCCUGAACCUGAAAUGUUAAAAUAAUUAGCAAGGACU
rnacentral:lncRNA from 10 species